GGGGUAUAGCUCAGUGGUAGAGUGUGUGCCUAGCAUGUAUGAGGUCCUGGGUUGAAUCCCCAGUACUGCCA
rnacentral:tRNA from 1 species